rnacentral:rRNA from 1 species
AUUGAACGCUGGCGGCAUGCCUUACACAUGCAAGUCGAACGGCAGCACGGGGGCAACCCUGGUGGCGAGUGGCGAACGGGUGAGUAAUGCAUCGGAACGUGCCCUGAAGUGGGGGAUAACGUAGCGAAAGUUACGCUAAUACCGCAUAUUCUGUGAGCAGGAAAGCAGGGGAUCGCAAGACCUUGCGCUUUAGGAGCGGCCGAUGUCGGAUUAGCUAGUUGGUGUGGUAAGAGCUCACCAAGGCGACGAUCCGUAGCGGGUCUGAGAGGAUGAUCCGCCACACUGGGACUGAGACACGGCCCAGACUCCUACGGGAGGCAGCAGUGGGGAAUUUUGGACAAUGGGCGCAAGCCUGAUCCAGCCAUGCCGCGUGAGUGAAGAAGGCCUGGUUGGUU